GAUGAACGCUGGCGGCGUGCCUAAUACAUGCAAGUCGAGCGACAAGACGAGGAGCUUGCUCCCCUGACGUUAGCGGCGGACGGGUGAGUAACACGUGGAUAACCUACCUAUAAGUCUGGGAUAAUUUCGGGAAACCGGAGCCAAUACCGGCUCAUAUAUUGAACCGCAUGGUUCAAUAGUGAAUGACGGUUUUGCUGUCUCUUAUAGAUGGAUCCGCGCCGCAUUAGCUAGUUGGUAAGGUAACGGCUUACCAAGGCAACGAUGCGUAGCCGACCUGAGAGGGUGAUCGGCCACACUGGAACUGAGACACGGUCCAGACUCCUACGGGAGGCAGCAGUAGGGAAUCUUGCACAAUGGGCGAAAGCCUGACGGAGCAACGCCGCGUGGGUGAUGAAGGUCUUCGGGUCGUAAAGCUCUGUUGUUGGGAAAGAACAAAAGUGUAAGUAACUAUGCACGUCUUGACGGUACCUAAUCAGAAAGCCACGGCUAACUACGUG
rnacentral:rRNA from 1 species